rnacentral:tRNA from 1 species
GCGGCUGUGGCGGAAUGGUAGACGCGCUGGUUUUAGGUACCAGUUCUUUACAGAGUGAGAGUUCGAGUCUCUCCAGCCGCACCA